AAUUUUUGAUCUUUUUCUUUUUUUAGGACUAGUAGAUUUGCUUGCUUUCGAACCCAACGCUUCAUUUGUAUUUUCUUCAAUUUGGAUAAUUUUGGUGUUGACAUUUAAUGGAGUUGUCUGGGCAGAGCUUGUUUCAAUCAUUAUAUUAACUGAUUAAAACCCUAAAAUUCAAAAUAAUUUCACAUAUAAAUACAUAAAAUAAGAAAAUUAUGAUACCAUAUUAUAAACAAAGAGAAUAUAAAUUGUAGUAAUUACUAAUAUUAUAUAUUAACAUUCAAAAAAAAAAAAAAAAUAAAGAGAAAUCAGAAAAUUUACUAAAUAGAAUAUUCAUUAAAAAAAAACUUAGUUGUCGACUAUAAUUGGAGACAGAAUUUGGAAAAAACUCACUCGUGCCAGCCUGUAGAGGAUUUCGCUUAUGAUGAUGAUGACACUGAUGAUGAUGAUGACAAUGAAAUAUUAUUGGCGAAAAUGAAACGAAAAAAAAAGAGUAGAAAACAAAGAGUAAAAGAAUUAGAAAAAAGUAAUGAGUAAAAGAGGCGGCUAGGAUUUCAUUAGGAUGAAAAUACAUAGUGACUCGUCAUCUAUAAGUUAUAUUAAAAUUGAUCCUUCAACUUCAAAAGUUUAUUUUUUUUUUUUAUUUACUAUCGGAUAUUUCAUCGGGUCCGGGUCCGGGUCCGGAUUUGAAAACUAUUCCGGACCCUACCCAUUUGAAAGUUGGGUUCGGGUAGGGUCCAAAUCGGGUAUGGGUAAAAAAUAUUCGGACCCAUACCCGAAACUUUAAUGGGUAAUUUAUUUUAUCUGUAUACUAUUCAUUUUUUAUCGGGUCCGGUUCGGGUCCGGGUAGGGUCCGGGUCGGGUAUGAGAUAUCGGAUAAUUUGGAUAGCUCUACUUGGAGUCGAGGGUGCCCCACUCGAUCCUCUGGACCUCCUCGAUGCUCAUCUUGUCGACGCCGAGGGCGGCGAGGCUCUGCAUGAUGGCGUCGCGGCGGACGGCGAUGUACAUCUGGCUCAGCUCCUGGCCAUACCCGGUGCGGAUCAUGCGGCCAACGAUCUUUGUGAGGUCGGCGAUGGCGUCGACGCGGAGAAGUGGUCGGCAGAGAGGGAUCCCCGGCCUCCUCCGCCGCCGCCGCCACAGGAGUCCUCGAGAUUGGCACCGUGGGUGUGGGGUCGAAUCUGGCGAGGAAGGUGGGGGCAUCGUCAUGGGAGAGGGAGAGGCGAUGGAAGGAGGAGGUAGGUUCAUUGGAGGAGGAGGAGGCGAUGGGGAGGGUGUUGCGGAGGAGGAGGUGGCGGAAAAAAAAAAUAACGAAGGAAAAAAAAAAGAAUAGAGAGAAAGAAAAGGAAUAAAGAUAUUUUCGUCCGAUGGCGAAAAAUCCGGCUCGAAUCUAUAAAAUUGAAAAAGGUGGCCCAGUUUUGCAAAAGCUCAAAACUUAUGAUUUUUUUAUGCAAAUUGGCCCAAGAAAAUUACUAAACAUUAUUUUUUUUAUUUCAAAAAAUAUAAUAGAACCUUACCAAAUAAAAAAAAAUACAUUCAUUCCCCUUAUAUCCUAGAAUAUAAAGCUAUUCUAAAAAUAAAUUUUUUUUUCCCAGAUAAUAUUAUUCCAUUUUCAAAAGAAUAUAAAUGAAGAGCUAUCUAGAACAAAAAGGAUGGUCAAACCAACCGGUGUCAACAUUUUACUUCAUGCACUUUCCAUAAGUUAUAUAUUACCCAUAAGAUUAACUUAUGGUUAUCUUGUUUUAUUUUAAUUAUAUUUUUGAGAUUACUUGGUGAGAGCGAGUUGUCUUUAUUUGUAAAAAAAUAAAUAAAUAAAUAAAUAAUAUGUUAAUUUGAACUGUCAAAAGCUAUACUUAUGUGAACUAUCGCCUUGUCUAAUCUCCUUAGAGAAAAAAUAUUUCUAUCUAGCCUUCUUUUAAAAAAUAUUCUUAAUCUAACCUUAUUUUUAUAGAUUAUAAAAAGAAAUGAUAAGUUAAUAAUUUUAAUUAGUUUAAUAUGUUAAGUGGUUGGGAGAUUAUUUUUUUCUCUCUCCUCUCCCAUUUUUCUAAUUUAGCCUUAUUUUUUUUUUUCGGCCGGAGUAUUUUCGCCUAUUAUGUCUUUUCUAUUUACAAAUUCCACAUAUAUAAUCCGUAUGUUUUUUCCAUAUAGUUAUGAAUCCACGCUAAUUUUGGACGACUUUUAUUUGACCUCCGCAUAGAUUCGUUUAGAAUUAAGAUAGAAUCAGAAUAUGAUUGCCAAUAAUUCUUAUCUGGUAUGAGAUUAAAUCUGGAAUGCCAUGUUAUUAUUAGUUUCUCAACAGAAUAAUAUUUAUCAACAAAAAAUUGAUAGUUUAUUGCAGGUGUAAAACAGACCGUCAAAAUAUGAGAGUAAAAAUAAUAAUAAAUUUGUAACUUCUGAUAUGUUCGGAAAUGACAAAGAGGAGAGAGAAAAAAAUAAUCUCCCAUCCACUUAACAUGUUAAUCAGUAUAAAAUUUAUUAAUAUUUUUUUUGAUUCAGAAAAGUGAGGCAAAAUUAAAAAUAUUAUUUAAAAGAAUACUAGAUAGGAAUUUUUUUUUUGGUCUACGGAAGAGGCUAGACAGGACAGUAGUUCUAUUUUUGUCGGCUAACUUUUCCAUUGAAAUCAUCGAAACUUUUUCAUUAAAAACAAAAGGAAAAGCUGCGUGGAUGACAAGACCACAUAAAAGACACCAACGCAUUAACGUAGACACAGAAUAAGAAGAUGAGAAGAUGUAGCCAAACUUUUUAAAAGGAGGAAUUGAUCUUUCAAUUCUCUGUCUGUCUCUCUCUAUCGAUCCUACUUUUUACCUUGCGGUUCGAGUAGGGCAUAGAUUUCUAGUCUCAAUAAUUAACAUGCUUCCAAAUAGAUCACAACAGAAUCUCUCUCUCCCUCCCUCUCUCAACAAAGUUUCCAAAUAAAUAACAACAACGUAGAUCUCUUUCUUUUGGAUUCUCACCACGUUGCUCUGUUCACAUGCUUCCAAGGAAACCAUAACAGAGCAUAUCUCUUUUGUAGUUGACCAACGCAAUAUCAGGAACGAUUAACGAUAUUAAUUGGCCUUAAAAUAAUUAGAAUAAAAGAAUAUUAUAAUGGAAUUACAAAAAUUAUAUUAUAAUCGAAUCACUCUACAUGCUGUGCGACACCGGAAGUAGAAAAGAUAGAUAGAAGGAGCACAGCAGAUAAAAUGAUAGGGGCUGAAAAAUUUUCGACCAUAUAAUUUAUUUAUUUUUUUAAAAAAUAAUAUUAAAAAUAUUUUUUUUUAUGUUUUAAAUUAUUUCAAAUAUAUUUUUAGAAUUAAAUUUUGUUAGUGAACGAUUGGCAAUGACCAUUAUUUCUGUAAAAUUAUUAUUUUGCCUUUUCAAAUAUAUUCUUCUAACAUCACCAACUUUUUUUUUAUUUGCUUUUAAGUUAGGGACAAAAAAAAUAUUUUGAUUUUUUAUUUUUUCAAAUAUACCAUUCUACCAUUACCAACUUUUUUAUUUACCAUUAAAUUAGGAGCAAAAGAGGGAUUUUGAUUUUUUUUAACUCUGGUAAAUAUUUAACUCAUGUUUAAUCCGAGAUAACUUAAUGAAUGAAAAUUGCGGGAGUAUUUUUGAAUAACGGAAGAAUAUAUGAAGGGUAUAUUAGAAACAAAAAAUAAAUAAAUAAAUUAGAUUUUUUUGAAGUUUUCAGGAGUAUAUAGGUGGGUAAUUAUUUCGAAAAAGAUAAAAAAGUUUUGCCAAAUAAUAACACUAUAAUUAAAAAAUUAUAAAUUAUAAAUUAUAAAUUAUUCAGAUAUAGGAGAAAAAAGUUAUUAUUUUAUAAUUAAAUUUUUAUACUCU
rnacentral:lncRNA from 1 species